AUGACUUUUCCUACAUUCAAAACCCAUAAUCCCAUAAUCCUUGGAAUGCCAUCUUGGAGCCCGUGGAGGCCUGCUAGGAAGAGGACUUCUAAAACAACACAUAGGUCAGGAAGGUUUUGGUCCAAGGCCAUUUUUGCUGGUUAUAAGCGGGGUCUCUGGAACCAGAGGGAGCACACAGCUCUUCUUAAAAUUGAAGGUGUUUAUGCCCGAGAUGAAACUGAAUUUUAUCUAGGCAAGAAGUGUGUUCAUGUGUACAAAGCAAAGAAUAACACAGUGAGUCCUGGCAGAAAACCUAACAAACCAGAGUAAUCUGGGGAAAGGUAACUCAUGCUUAUGGCAACAGUGGCAGGGUUCAUGCCAAAUUCCAAAGCAACCUUUCUACUAAGGCCACUGGACACAGAAUCCUCAUGAUGCUGUACCCUUCAAGGAUUUAAACUUAUUGUAAAUUAAAUAAAUAAAAGUGGAUUUGUUCUCUUG